ACCACUAGUGUCGUACAAGGAAGAGAGAGAGAGACCCGUUAACAGGCAUCCCAACCGAUUCAGAAUCACUUUAUGAUGCGAUUCCGAUAUGUCCAACUGUCUGUCCACCUUUCCUAAAGUCAAAGCCUAUUGAAAUUGGAAGAAAUCGGUUCAGAAAGUUAAAAAAAAACACAUAAAAUUCAAAAAAAUGCAUGAAAUAUUUCGAUAGUGCUGUCCAUAUAAUUUAAUGUUUGAAUAUUACUUCAUGCAAAUGUAAACCUGACUGCGCCUCAAAUGGUCCAACGGCUUAGUCCACGAUAUAGACGGCCAAUUGGCUGGUCCCGAACUCGCCUCUAAAUAAAUCCAUUGUUACGCGUGUUGUGCUGUAUGUGACACCGUCUUGCUGAAACUACAUGUCAUGCAAGUCAAGCUCUUGCAUUUUGAGCAAAAAAAGUUGGACAUCAUAUCACAGUAGCGAUCACCAUUCACAGAAGUAUGGUCCAAUGAUUCCACCAGCCCAUAAACCCCACCAAACUGUGACUUUUUCUGGAUGCAUUGCAACGCUUCUGGCUAAUCUUCGCUCCAAAAUCGACAAUUCUGCUUAUUAACGUACCCAUUGAGCCAAAAAUGAGAAGCGCGCGAUGUACUUUCUUAACAGAGCACGCAUUUUGAUAAUAAAAUUCGAUGAUUUGCAAGCGUUGUUCGUUUGUAAGACGAUUCAUGGAUAAAUUAUGGACCAAACUGAAGAUGUUUGGCAGUGAAAAAAAAAACACAAAACGUGCGUGGGCUGAUUAUAUCAGAAUAAUAAUAGCUAAAAAAUCACCCUGUAUAUGUUCAUAAAAUUUUUGGUAAUUUGCAAUAAUGUUGUAAUUUUUCAAACGUAGUUAUUACAGUUUGAACAUAUUUGCUUGAAAUUUGGUAGGAAUUGUUUAAUAACUCAUCCGAAAACAUCCGACGAGGACCAUCAAAAUUGGUUCACAAUUUGAUAUUGCUCCCACUUUGUACUUGUAGGGUAGGUGUAUUAGAUAAUGUGAGAAAUCGAAUCGAAUACAGCUAAUAGCUGAAAUCGUCAUUUAAGAUAUUUCAUGUGGUAAAUUUAAACUUUGGUUAAAAAAUAUCAUUAAACGGCCAAGGAUUUUAUAAAGGCGAUUUUGCGGUACAAAUUAAAGUCAAACGGUUGAGUGGAAUUUAAUGAAAUUGGCAUCAAUCAAUAUUUGUCCAAAGAAGUUGCGAAUAUAUUUAAA